rnacentral:misc_RNA from 1 species
CAGAAGGUUACAAUACCUACAAACCACUGCGAACCGUUCCUUUUAGCUGCCUCGGCGGGGCAAUCCCAGGGCGGGAUUCCGGGCCUCCUUUGGGGGGCGCCCGCCGGCGGUGCGCACAUAUCUAGUUCUGUCUCUCAGCGGAUUUCUGAGUGAUUUUUAAAAAAACCUUUAAA